UACGGAGGGGGCUAGCGUUGUUCGGAAUUACUGGGCGUAAAGCGCACGUAGGCGGAUUGGAAAGUUGGGGGUGAAAUCCCGGGGCUCAACCCCGGAACUGCCUUCAAAACUCCCAGUCUGGAGGUCGAGAGAGGUGAGUGGAAUUCCGAGUGUAGAGGUGAAAUUCGUAGAUAUUCGGAGGAACACCAGUGGCGAAGGCGGCUCACUGGCUCGAUACUGACGCUGAGGUGCGAAAGCGUGGGGAGCAAACAGGA
rnacentral:rRNA from 1 species